UUGGAUUAAAAAAUAAAAAUGAUACCUCUUCAUGAGGCCUUAUGUACAACGGCUGUAAACAGCAGCAUCCUUGGUAGUGUACGCAACCUGUUGCUAGUGUUCCUUAAGGAACCUUGGAUUCAGCC